rnacentral:rRNA from 1 species
AUUGAACGCUGGCGGCAGGCCUAACACAUGCAAGUCGAACGGUAACAGGAAGCAGCUUGCUGCUUCGCUGACGAGUGGCGGACGGGUGAGUAAUGUCUGGGAAGCUGCCUGAUGAGGGGGAUAACUACUGGAAACGGUAGCUAAUACCGCAUAAUGUCGCAAGACCAAAGAGGGGGACCUUCGGGCCUCUUGCCAUCGGAUGUGCCCAGAUGGGAUUAGCUUGUUGGUGGGGUAACGGCUCACCAAGGCGACGAUCCCUAGCUGGUCUGAGAGGAUGACCAGCCACACUGGAACUGAGACACGGUCCAGACUCCUACGGGAGGCAGCAGUGGGGAAUAUUGCACAAUGGGCGCAAGCCUGAUGCAGACAUGCCGCGUGUAUGAAGAAGGCCUUCGGGUUGUAAAGUACUUUCAGCGGGGAGGAAGGGAGUAAAGUUAAUACCUUUGCUCAUUGACGUUACCCGCAGAAGAAGCACCGGCUAACUCCGUG